ACGAACGCUGGCGGCGUGCUUAACACAUGCAAGUCGAACGGAAAGGCCCUGCUUUUGUGGGGUGCUCGAGUGGCGAACGGGUGAGUAACACGUGAGUAACCUGCCCUUGACUUUGGGAUAACUUCAGGAAACUGGGGCUAAUACCGGAUAGGAGCUCCUGCUGCAUGGUGGGGGUUGGAAAGUUUCGGCGGUUGGGGAUGGACUCGCGGCUUAUCAGCUUGUUGGUGGGGUAGUGGCUUACCAAGGCUUUGACGGGUAGCCGGCCUGAGAGGGUGACCGGCCACAUUGGGACUGAGAUACGGCCCAGACUCCUACGGGAGGCAGCAGUGGGGAAUAUUGCACAAUGGGCGGAAGCCUGAUGCAGCAACGCCGCGUGCGGGAUGACGGCCUUCGGGUUGUAAACCGCUUUCGCCUGUGACGAAGCGUGAGUGACGGUAAUGGGUAAAGAAGCAUCGGCUAACUACGUG
rnacentral:rRNA from 1 species